rnacentral:rRNA from 1 species
GACGAACGCUGGCGGCGUGCUUAACACAUGCAAGUCGAACGGAAAGGCCUGCUUUCCCUUGUGGAUUGCGGGUACUCGAGUGGCGAACGGGUGAGUAACACGUGAGUGAUCUGCCCCCAACUUGGGUAUAAGCCUGGGAAACUGGGCCUAAUUCCCGAUAGGACUGCAGGGUGGUGCCUGUGGUGGAAAACGAUUUUCUAGUGGUUGGGGAUGAGCUCGCGGCCUAUCAGCUUGUUGGUGGGGUAAUGGCCUACCAAGGCGGCGACGGGUAGCCGGCCUGGGAGGGUGGACGGCCACAUUGGGACUGAGAUACGGCCCAGACUCCUACGGGAGGCAGCAGUGGGGAAUAUUGCACAAUGGGCGGAAGCCUGAUGCAGCGACGCCGCGUGGGGGAUGACGGCCUUCGGGUUGUAAACUCCUUUCGACCGCGAGGAAGCCACCUGGUUGGAAGGGUGGUGACGGUAGUGGUAGAAGAAGCACCGGCUAACUACGAG